rnacentral:lncRNA from 1 species
AUCUGAUUCAAGCAAUGUGCUUUACUAGCAGUAGCCAACUUAGGGAUACAAAGUCAAGGUGAGGGUCCAUCUCCAUUACUCAUUAACCAUGUGUUGUGCUGAGGACUCAGUGUUCUUACUUGCAUAAUGCAAUUACUAUUACUACCUCACAUGUAAAAGGGGGGAUUUCUAUAGUCUGCUAUCUUGCAAGUGAAAGGAGCCAUGGAUAGCUGGUCUCUGUUCACAGGAGUAACAAAGUGGACACCUCCAGAUGCGAGACAGAUCAAACAGAAAUGUGGCUAUUUGGAAAGAGCAAUCUUCUCCCACUGAUGAAGGUCUCAGAAAAAAAGAUCACAAAUGAAAAAUACAUGAGAAGUGUGCCAACAGCCACUACCCCCCAGACACAGUGGACUCAGAAUUCUUCUCCACAGCACAUUCCAGGCAGCCAGCAUCAUUCAAUUAGAUUCUGCACAAAUCGAAACCUACAUGCCUUUCUGAGCCUAAAGAUGCCCUUUUAAUCCAAGGAAUAUUUGACAAGAUCCUUCAC